AUAGAGAGCUCCCUGAGCAGUGGGGAUGCUGGCCUGCCUCACUUGCUGGAGGUUUGUGAGAGCCUCCAGGUGGCAUCUGGCCCCUGCUCCGAUGCCUGUGUGCACUCACCCACCCUGCCCUGCCCUGCCCUGCCCUGCCCUGUGGGGCUGGGCCCUGCCUCCGGGAUGUUAGGAGCUGGACUUACCUGGAAAGCCCAGGAGAGGCUCCCAUUGUCUUUCCUUGUUCCUUCUUUCUCUUCCUGCACGUGAGAGGGCAACGAGUGAACCGUGACUCGCAGCAUCUUGCAGACUGCACAGAAGCCAAAAAGCAUUGCUGGUAUUUCGAAGGACUCUAUCCAACCUAUUAUAUAUGCCGCUCCUACGAGGACUGCUGUGGCUCCAGGUGCUGUGUGCGGGCCCUCUCCAUACAGAGGCUGUGGUACUUCUGGUUCCUUCUGAUGAUGGGCGUGCUUUUCUGCUGCGGAGCCGGCUUCUUCAUCCGGAGGCGCAUGUACCCCCCGCCGCUGAUCGAGGAGCCAGCCUUCAAUGUGUCCUACACCAGGCAGCCCCCAAAUCCCGGCCCAGGUCAGCCAGCCCUGUCCUU
rnacentral:lncRNA from 1 species